rnacentral:rRNA from 1 species
AGCGAACGCUGGCGGCAGGCCUAACACAUGCAAGUCGAACGAACUCUCCGUAGUUAGUGGCGGACGGGUGGUUAACACGUGGGAACUUGCCCUUUGGUUCGCAAUCACUCACGGUAACUUGUCCUCAUACCGCAUGUGCUCUUCGCGGGAAAGAUGUAUGGCUAUUAGCUCGGCGUGCGUCUGAUUAGCUAGUUGGUGAGGUAACGGCAAGCCAAGGCCAGGAUCAGGGGCUGGUCGGGGAGGAUGACCAGCCACACUGGGGCUGAGGCACGGCCCAGACUCCUACGGAAGGCAGCAGUGGGGUGUCUUGCGCGAGGAGCGAAAACGUAGCGCAGCCAUGCGGGGUAAAUGGUGAAGGUCGUAGGAUUGUGAAAUUCUUUGUCCGGAAACGAUAAUGACGGUACCCGGUAAAGAAGCCCCGGCUAACUUCGUG